GUUUUAUUUCCUUUCUAAACGAACUACAGAUCUGGUGUUUACUGUAAAUAUCUAUGGGGAUGAUAAUAAAAAAUCUUGCAGUUUUACUUUCAAUAUUAACAUUUAUCACAGUAUUUGGCAGAAGAGAACCACUGCAACGGCAUAUUGUUGAAGAAGGAAUAAAACCGGCCAUAUUUGGUUCGUACAGUUAUGAUCCCAUACGACAAGUGUUCGACCCACCGCCUCCGGAUAAAAAUGAAACGGUGCCAAGUCAGUUCUUUAACAAAACACACGUAUUGUCGACGGUCAUAGGCCAGGAAGACCAAAAACAGACUACAUUAGAUGCCAAAAAUGCCAGUAUGUUCUUCAGAAAACACGUCACACACAAAACCACUCCUUGGUGGGCCCGCCCCAAGUUACACAUGAACUCUACAACGAAACUCCGUCAUAAUGAUAAAUUUGUUGGUAAUU